UUACUCUUCAGAAAUAUAGAGCUGUCAAUGCUGCAAUUUUGUUGUGAAAUUCACAAUCCAUGUCCAAAAGUGCUUGUUUUACUAUACAGCAAAGGAGAAAUUGUACUGGGCCGACACCAUAACCAGUUACAGAGAAUAGUUCUGAUCGAGCGGAUAAACUAUAUACAAGCAUUAUCUCAACAGUGGAAUACUUACCUUAGAUAAAUCAUGAUGUGAUGUAACAUUUAUUGCUGUGAACCAUCUCGGGAGAGAGUACACCCUGUAUGAGAAUAAUAAUAAUCAACUCAAUGUGUAGAGUAAUUACUUGAACAAUUACUGUGUUUACCACCAUAACUAGGAACAUCAGCCGGACUUCACCAACCCACCAAGCUUCCUUUAAGAAUAUGAAACUCAGGGUCAAUCGACCAAUAGUAAUGGAUGGUGAAAAUACAUUAGUCUACUCUGCCAAUUAGACCAUGGACCUUUCAGUUUUGGCAACUUACAAUAUAAAGACAUUUAAAAAACUGUACAUACUAAAAUUUAAGAAAAGAAGACAAAGGUUAAAUAGCUAUUUUGUGCUCAAAUUUAAUGGAAAGAACAUACUUAAAACCAAGAAUGUGCUUCUGUAAAAUACUGCUGCCUUCUGAUCUCUUGUAAUGGAUUGAGUAAAUAAUAUACAGUGCAACCUCGACAGAGCGGCCCUCUCUACAGCAAAAACCUCUCCACAACAGCAUCAUCAAAAUUUCCCAUAGCCGAAACUUACUAUCAAUUUAACCUCUAUAGAGCAACAACCUCUCAACAGAGGUCAAUAUCUGCAUCUCCCAAAGGGUGUUGCUCUGCAAAGGUUGCACUGUAUAUUAAAGAAUCUGCAUAAUGUGAAAAUUAAUUUACACCAUUUUUACACUGCAUAUGUUUGCAUUUAUGUUGAAAUGUUAUCAUUUUUGAAAAUGUAUUUUGUACCUUUUGGAUAUUUUUUUUCCCAUCUGUCAUGUAACUUUUGGACUGUUAAGAAAUAAUGCUCAUUAUAUUUCACUGACAAUAUUAUUAUUUUUGUUACUUUUUAAAAAUGCGAGAUUGUGUGUUAUUUUUAUACAUGGUUUUCUUGCAUACCAGACGGGGAUUUCCAGUAUUUUUACCAGUGCUGGAAAAAUCCAUCUUACACCCCGGGGUGUAAGAUGAUUCUUGUGCUUUAAAUGACGUAUUACGAACUAUAUAUAUGUGGAAGAUUUGUGUAGUAAUUUGCAUUUUAUUUCAAAGAACGGAAUAAAAGUCCAUUACCUUGACAGUUCCUCUUUGUUCCUGAUAGUAUAUUUCUUGAUUCAAAACACGUUAUUCUACGCUACGCUGUAACCAAUAAACCAAAACCGGAACUAAACAUUGUUAUUUGUCUUUAAAAAUGUCUUGACGUCUUUCCUGUUUACGGAGGUCGGUUUCCCGUGCUUUGUUUUAAAUACGCUGCUAUAAGAAAUAGUUCUAAAAAAACUGUUCGAUCGAUUUUAUUUUUAUCAUCAUUUUUUGAAAUCGGUAUGCAAGAAAAAGAAUUUCUGGCUCUCUGGUAACUGUUAGGCUAAAUAGUUACCCUCGAGACCGGAAAUUCCCAUCUGCACCUACAACCAGUGAAAGAAUCUUGUAAUAUACAAUCACCUGUAGUAAAGUAUAAUGGAAGUGCUAUCAAAAUUUUUUAAGAUAUUUACAACUAAAGGCAUUUAUUUGUUUUACAUGUCACUUAACCAUAAAAUACUUGCAAUAAACACUUUUCUACCUUCAA
rnacentral:lncRNA from 1 species